rnacentral:rRNA from 1 species
UCAAAAACAUGUCUUUUUGAAAAUAAUUUAAAGUCUAAUCUGCCCACUGAUAUAAAUAUUAAAGGGCUGCAGUAUAUUGACUGUACAAAGGUAGCAUAAUCAUUAGUCUUUUAAUUGGAGACUUGUAUGAAGGAUUUGAUGAAAUAUAAACUGUCUCUAAAUUAAGAAUAAAAUUUAAUUUUUUAGUUAAAAAGCUAAAAUUUUAUUAAAAGACGAGAAGACCCUAUAAAGUUUUAUAGUUUAUUUAUUUAAUAUAAAGUAUAUAAUUAAAUAUAAUAAUUAAAUAAAUUAUUUUAUUGGGGUGAUAGAAAAAUUUAAUAAACUUUUUUUAAAUGUAAACAUAUAUAAGUGAAAAAAUGAUCCACUUAUUGGUGAUUAAAAGAAAAAAUUACUUUAGGGAUAACAGCGUAAUAUUUUUUUUUAGUACGAAUAAAAAAAAAAGUUUGCGACCUCGAUGUUGGAUUAAGAUAAAAUUUAAAUGCAAAAGUUUAAAAUUUUGAUCUGUUCGAUCAUUAAAAUCUUACAUGAUCUGAGCU